UAAGGUGGUUAUAGCGAUGGGGCUCACCUCUUACCAUUCCGAACAGAGUAGUUAAGCCCAUCAGCGCAGAUGGUACUGGGCAACCGGGAGAGUAUGUCGCCGCCUUCU
rnacentral:rRNA from 1 species